CGGGGGCCGCGGGGAGCCGGGGACUCACCUGCAGCAGCACGGCCAGCAGGAAGCACAAGUACAUCUGAUAGAGGCCCAUCUCGCCCACCGCCUGGAACGCCUCCUCCACCUCCAUGGCGGGCUCGCGCCUGAAGACCCGGCCGCCACCGCGACGGAGGACCUGGCUGCGCGGUGGCUGAAGAUCGAGCAACAGAGAGACAGAGGACUGGGCCGGGAGAGGACGGAGGGCCGAGCGGCGGGGACGGGAAGGGAGGACCAGGCGGACCGCGGCCGAGGCGAGGACAGAGGACUGGGCCCAGCCGGGGGUGGAGGACCGGGCGGGGCUGCGGCCCAGGAGCAGACCUGGUCCCGGGGCGCGGCGGAGAUGCGCGACUGGUCGCCCCAGCGCGGCCUCCCCGCUUCCUGUCAGAAGUGACAGGAAUUUUUGGCGAGCGGUUGGCUGGCGCGCGGAAGGGAAAGAGGAAGUGGGUGCGGCGCGGGCGGCCACGGCGACUCACGGGAGGGGCGGGCAGCUCCACGCCGCGUCCCGCGGGGUUCGCCCCUUCGCACAAAGCGGUGGAAUGCUGGGGCGCUGAGAGCUCUAGAGCCUUCGGAGGAGAGGGCCAGAAGCAUCAGUCCCCUUCCUCCUUUGUCCUGCUUUAGAUACAGGGUCAGAUGUAUGCUCCGCGCCUCGAGACACCCAGUUAGAGAAGUGCCCGCAAGGCCCACGGACAAGGAACAAAGGCAGGGGGUCAUGGUGGCCAAGGUCUGCCAAUGGAGUUUGGCAAAGGGCUGGAGAGUUGUGGGGACAGAUUACUAGUGUUAGUCCUCUCAUGACCCCGCUCUUAAUCCUGUUUUGUUUUUAAACUAUUCCAAGUAUCUAAACCAGUGGGUGAGGACCAAAGACCCUUUCACAAGGGUCCUAUAUCAGAUAUCUUGCGCAUCAGAUAUUUACAAUACGAUUCAUAACAGUAGCAAAAUUACAGUUAUGAAGUAGCAAAAAUAAUUUCAUGGUUAAGGGGGUCACCACAACAUGAGGAACUGUGUUAAAGGGUCACAGCAUUAGGAAGGUUGAGAACCAUUGAUCUAAACUAUCGCUCAGCUUACCUUUUUUUCCUCUUGGUAUGAGAAUAGCAUGACAAAAGAAACUUAGGGGAGAAGGAAUUUAUUUGGCUCACAAUUCCUCUUAGAGCCCAUCAUUGCUGGUAAGUCGAGACACCAGAAACAUAAGCAGCUAGUAACAUGACAUCCACAGCGAAGAGCAGCUGGCAGUGAACGGAUGGAUAUGCACACCAGCGAUCAGCUAGUUCCCUCCCUCAUUCAUUCAGCCUAGGCUCCAAUCCAUGAAAUGGCCUCGCCCAUGUUCAGGGUGGGCCUUCCUAACUCAACCCAGUUUUGAAAAACAAAACAAAACAAAACAAAAACAAAACAAAACAAAAAAAAAAAA
rnacentral:lncRNA from 1 species